AGUGAACGCUGGCGGUAGGCCUAACACAUGCAAGUCGAACGGCAGCACAGUAAGAGCUUGCUCUUACGGGUGGCGAGUGGCGGACGGGUGAGGAAUACAUCGGAAUCUACUUUUUCGUGGGGGAUAACGUAGGGAAACUUACGCUAAUACCGCAUACGACCUACGGGUGAAAGCAGGGGAUCUUCGGACCUUGCGCGAUUGAAUGAGCGGAUGUCGGAUUAGCUAGUUGGCGGGGUAAAGGCCCACCAAGGCGACGAUCCGUAGCUGGUCUGAGAGGAUGAUCGGCCACACUGGAACUGGGACACGGUCCAGGCUCCUGCGGGAGGCAGCAGUGGGGAAUAUUGGACAAUGGGCGCAAGCCUGGUCCAGCCAUACCGCGUGGGUGAAGAAGGCCUUCGGGUUGUAAAGCCCUUUUGUUGGGAAAGAAAAGCAGCAGGUUAAUACCCCGCUGUUCUGACGGUACCCAAAGAAUAAGCACCGGCUAACUUCGUG
rnacentral:rRNA from 1 species